rnacentral:rRNA from 1 species
GGGGAGCACCACAAGGGGUGAAGCCUGCGGUUCAAUUGGAGUCAACGCCAGAAAUCUUACCCGGAGAGACAGCAGAAUGAAGGUCAAGCUGAAGACUUUACCAGACAAGCUGAGAGGUGGUGCAUGGCCGUCGCCAGCUCGUGCCGUGAGAUGUCCUGUUAAGUCAGGUAACGAGCGAGAUCCCUGCCUCUAGUUGCCACCAUUACUCUCAGGAGUAGUGGGGCGAAUUAGCGGGACCGCCGCAGUUAAUGCGGAGGAAGGAAGGGGCCACGGCAGGUCAGUAUGCCCCGAAACUCUGGGGCCACACGCGGGCUGCAAUGGUAGCGACAAUUGGUUUCGAAUCCGAAAGGAUGAGGUAAUCCACAAACGCUACCACAGUUAUGACUGAGGGCUGCAACUCGCCCUCACGAAUAUGGAAUCCCUAGUAACUGCGUGUCAUUAUCGCGCGGUGAAUACGUCCCUGCUCCUUGCACACACCGCCCGUCGUUUCAUUGAAGUGAGCUUUUAGCGAGGUGACGUCUGAUUGGCGUUAUCGAACUUGAGGUUCGUGACAAGGGAAAAGUCGUAACAAGGUGACCGUAGGUGAUCCUGCAGAAU